UAGAGAACAGAGAAGCAGAUGAGCCCUCCUUCAACGACCCUGAGGAUUUCAUAAAUGACAUGAGCGAGGAAGGUCAGGGGUGUAGUCGUGAUUGUGUCCAUGGUGAGAGUAUCCACUUAGGUCGUCGAGGUUUGGUUCUCCGUAACCAUGUUGGAUGACUCACAACCACCCGUGACUCCAGCCCCCAGGAUCUGCCCCUCUAGAUUAAUGGGCACCUGCAUUCAUGUGCACAUAUCCACAUUUUGUUUUUGUUUAAUUCUAGUUUCCAUUUUAUUGGUAAAAUGUAGGAACUUCAUACCACGUCUGAUUUAUUACAGGAGCUGCUCCCCAAAAAUGUUACUUAUAGUUGGAGUAGAAACCCCCGGAAACUCCAAAGCAACCUGCGAAGGAAAAGAAGAAAGCGGGACUAGGUUGAAACAUCGAGCUUACCUGAAGCACAGGCAGGGAAGAGGGAGAGAAGCAGCGCUGAGGACAGAAAGCAAGGAAAAGGACUCAGAAGGAUGGUGUUGGCCAAGCUGCUUCCGAGGCCUCCGAGGACAACAGAGGAGAAUGAGCAGGAGCCCUUAACCCUUAGGACACAAGGCCAAAGAACUUACAGUCAGCUGGUCCUCCCUACAAUCCUAGCACCGGAGAGGUGGCGGCAGGAGGAUCAAGAGCUUAAGGAGGCCGUGAGGCCGUUUCAUCAAGUACAGAGCAGGAACACCUUCCUCAGUGGCCCAGCCAGUAAUACAAGAAGACAGAGUGGAGCUCGGACAGGACAGUGGAAACUUCUCAGGCGAAGAGCUGCAGGAGCAGUUCUUAGGAAGCAGAGGUAUAGAGGAAAAACCAUGGAGACCUUAGAGACAAGGCUUGGAAGAACUGAAGACAAAAGCCAUGGUUGGGUUACUGGAAGAGUUCCAAGGAGCUGCGAAGCUCUGAGGUGUGUCCAACCUUUUGGCAUUGCUUCAUGAAACUGUCGUCCAGAGUUCAAGCAACUGAAUUUUUUAAAAAAAAUGCAAAAUUA